CCUACGGGGGGCAGCAGUGGGGAAUAUUGCACAAUGGGGGAAACCCUGAUGCAGCGACGCCGCGUGAGUGAAGAAGUAUCUCGGUACGUAAAGCUCUAUCAGCAGGGAAGAAAAUGACGGUACCUGACUAAGAAGCCCCGGCUAACUACGUGCCAGUAGCCGCGGUAAUACGUAGGGGGCAAGCGUUAUCCGGAUUUACUGGGUGUAAAGGGAGCGUAGUCGGCAGAAAAAGUCUGGUGUGAAAUCCCGGGGCUUAACCCCGGAACUGCUUUGGAAACUGUGCGGCUGGAGUGCAGGAGGGGUAAGCGGAAGUCCUAGUGUAGCGGUGAAAUGCGUAGAUAUUAGGAGGAACACCGGUGGCGAAGGCGGCUUACUGGACUGUAACUGACGUUGAGGCUCGAAAGCGUGGGGAGCAAACAGGAUUAGAUACCCUAGUAGAC
rnacentral:rRNA from 1 species